rnacentral:rRNA from 1 species
GACGAACGCUGGCGGCGUGCUUAACACAUGCAAGUCGAACGGAAAGGCCCUGCUUUUGUGGGGUGCUCGAGUGGCGAACGGGUGAGUAACACGUGAGUAACCUGCCCUUGACUUUGGGAUAACUUCAGGAAACUGGGGCUAAUACCGGCUAGGAGCUCCUGCUGCAUGGUGGGGGUUGGAAAGUUUCGGCGGUUGGGGAUGGACUCGCGGCUUAUCAGCUUGUUGGUGGGGUAGUGGCUUACCAAGGCUUUGACGGGUAGCCGGCCUGAGAGGGUGACCGGCCACAUUGGGACUGAGAUACGGCCCAGACUCCUACGGGAGGCAGCAGUGGCGAAUAUUGCACAAUGGGCGGAAGCCUGAUGCAGCAACGCCGCGUGCGGGAUGACGGCCUUCGGGUUGUAAACCGCUUUCGCCUGUGACGAAGCGUGAGUGACGGUAAUGGGUAAAGAAGCACCGGCUAACUACGUG